rnacentral:rRNA from 1 species
GAUGAACGCUGGCGGCGUGCUUAACACAUGCAAGUCGAACGAAGCACUUUAACCUGAUUCUUCGGAUGAAGGUUUUUGUGACUGAGUGGCGGACGGGUGAGUAACGCGUGGGUAACCUGCCUCAUACAGGGGGAUAACAGUUAGAAAUGACUGCUAAUACCGCAUAAGACCACAGAGCCGCAUGGCUCGGUGGGAAAAACUCCGGUGGUAUGAGAUGGACCCGCGUCUGAUUAGGUAGUUGGUGGGGUAACGGCCUACCAAGCCAACGAUCAGUAGCCGACCUGAGAGGGUGACCGGCCACAUUGGGACUGAGACACAGCCCAAACUCCUACGGGAGGCAGCAGUGGGGAAUAUUGCACAAUGGGGGAAACCCUGAUGCAGCGACGCCGCGUGAGCGAAGAAGUAUUUCGGUAUGUAAAGCUCUAUCAGCAGGGAAGAAAAUGACGGUACCUGACUAAGAAGCACCGGCUAAAUACGUG